UUUGCUAUGAUUUAAUUAGCUUAAACAAGUAUUAAAUCAUAUAACAUUAAUCAUGGCAGAGACAAGUGCUAUGAUUUUAUUAGAAACUACACUUUAUACUGAGUCUAGCAAAAUUUGUUUGACAUUUUUCUGAAUUUUCUAUGAGUUUUGGUGAAUUUCCAAAGCUAAAUACAUUUUUUGCCAAUUAUAAAACAAAAACCGAGGUGAGCUUGCGAUCUAACCUUUGCGUCUAUACUUUAUUUUUGUAGGGGUCCUUGGUUUUUGCACUAAAGCCCCUGAUUCGAUUUUCUCAAUCGCAAUCGGGUCCCUGGGUGGCGCACGGCGGCGGGCGGGCAAAAUCCCGGUGAAGCCCCGGCGGGCUUGGGGCAGAAAGAGACCGAGGAGGAACGGUGGCUCACCUGCGACUGAUUUGAGGUAGUUGCGGGCAUCUGGGAGGUCUACGUGGGAGUGGAACACGAUGGCAGACGGCGUGCCACGGUGUUCCGGCAGUGACAGCACUCUUCGCGGGCAAUGAACGGGCUCUAGAGCUGCGCGAGGGGGAGGUGGAGCUGCUAGUGGUUUCGGUGAGGUGCGGGGCAGUGCGAAAGGGGGAGCUCCACGGAGAGGGUGUGCGGUGGAGCUGAGAGUGAGAAUAGGGGCGAGCGACGAGGUUCGAGGGCGAGCGGGGAAAGGGGCACAGGCAGCGUCGGGCUUCCCUUUAUAGGGCCAGGGUGGAGCGGCGAGCGAGGCGGAGCAGCGGUGCUAGCAGGUGGGACCAGAGGGCAUCAC
rnacentral:lncRNA from 1 species